rnacentral:rRNA from 1 species
AACGAACGCUGGCGGCAGGCUUAAUACAUGCAAGUCGAGCGCCACGCAAGGGGAGCGGCAGACGGGGGAGUAACGCGUGGGAACGUGCCGUUUGGUUCGGAACAACUCCGGGAAACUGGAGCUAAUACCGGAUAAGCCCUUCGGGGGAAAGAUUUAUCGCCAAAGGAUCGGCCGGAGUAUGAUUAGCUAGUUGGUGAGGUAACGGCUCACCAAGGCGACGCUCAGUAGCUGGUCUGGGAGGAUGAUCAGCCACACUGGGACUGAGACACGGAGCAGACACCUACGGGAGGCAGCAGUGGGGAAUAUUGGACAAUGGGCGCAAGCCUGAUCCAGCCAUGCCGCGUGAGUGAUGAAGGCCUUAGGGUUGUAAAGCUCUUUUGUCCGGGAAGAUAAUGACUGUACCGGAAGAAUAAGCCCCGGCUAACUUCGUGCCAGCCGCCGCGGUAACAC